rnacentral:tRNA from 3 species
GGAGAGAUGCCAGAGUGGUCGAUCGGGCCUGCUUGGAAAGCAGGUGUAGGGGAAACUCUACCGGGGGUUCGAAUCCCCCUCUCUCCGCCA